rnacentral:rRNA from 1 species
UACGUAGGGUGCAAGCGUUAAUCGGAAUUACUGGGCGUAAAGCGUGCGCAGGUGGUUGUGCAAGACAGAUGUGAAAUCCCCGGGCUUAACCUGGGAACUGCAUUUGUGACUGCACGGCUAGAGUACGGCAGAGGGGGAUGGAAUUCCGCGUGUAGCAGUGAAAUGCGUAGAUAUGCGGAGGAACACCAAUGGCGAAGGCAGUCCCCUGGGCCAGUACUGACGCUCAUGCACGAAAGCGUGGGGAGCAAACAGG